UGGACCUGGAGUGAGGAAGCAGCUAGAACUGGCUCCAGAAAUGUUUCCUGUGUUUCAGCAGCAUUUUAGCUCUUUAGCAAAUUCCAGCUUUAUCCCACGACCUUGGCUACGAUGAAAAUGGGAUUAUACUUAUCUCUGCUAUUUCAGACGGACUGGCGGGAGUCCCUUCGAUAACAUCAAGAUGGCAGAGAGGCGGUCUUUUGGAAUCUUGAUCCUGACCCUAACAGGUCCGGGGGUGCCCAAGAUGCCGCAUGGGAAGCAAGGUGGCUGGUGCUCAGAUCACACCUCCCUCGAGCAGCACGAGGCUCAGGUUGACUCAAGGCUCUGCCAUGCACCGUCCUGGCUCCAGGACACAACUGAUGAGGCAGCUGUUGUCUGGAGCGUUGCUGGUUCCUGGGGCAGAGGAAAGGAACUAUCUGGAGAAACUCACGCAGGCAAUUAAAUGCCCUGGCCUGGAAGACACCCACAUCACUUCACAGCACACGGGGCAGAUCUGGUGACAGUCCCACGAGGGAGCCAAGAAGUUCAGUGCUACCAGGUGCCAGAGAGACAGACUCUUGGGGGAACCAUGUAAUGAUUACUGUAGCUUUUAUUAUCCUUAUUAUUCACAAUUAUAAUGAAAACAUCCUGUGGC
rnacentral:lncRNA from 1 species